rnacentral:rRNA from 1 species
CUACCAUAUAGUGGGGAAUAACCCCUCGAAAGAGGAGCUAAUACCGCAUACGCUCUCUUGUGAUAGCAGGAGAGGAAACCUUACUUGUGACAGAGUUGGGGCUAAAUGAUGAGGCUGCGGCGGAUUAGCUAGAUGGUGGGGUAAAAGCCUACCAUGGCGACGAUCCGUAGCUGGUCUGAGAGGACGACCAGCCACACUGGGACUGAGACACGGCCCAG